UGGGGAAUAUUGCACAAUGGGCGCAAGCCUGAUGCAGCGACGCCGCGUGAAGGAUGAAGGUCUUCGGAUUGUAAACUUCUAUCAGCAGGGAAGAAUAAAUGACGGUACCUGACUAAGAAGCACCGGCUAACUACGUGCCAGCAGCCGCGGUAAUACGUAGGGUGCGAGCGUUAUCCGGAAUUACUGGGUGUAAAGGGUGCGUAGGCGGCUAUUUAAGUCAGAUGUGAAAACUCAGGGCUCAACCUUGAGGCUGCAUCUGAAACUGAGUAGCUAGAGUGUGGGAGAGGAAAGUGGAAUUCCGAGUGUAGCGGUGAAAUGCGUAGAGAUUCGGAGGAACACCAGUAGCGAAGGCGGCUUUCUGGACCAUAACUGACGCUGAGGCACGAAGCAUGGGGAGCAAACAGGAUUAGAUACCCGUGGUAGUCCACGCUGUAAACGAUGAAUGCUAGGUGUUGGGGGC
rnacentral:rRNA from 1 species